rnacentral:rRNA from 1 species
AUACGGAGGGUGCGAGCGUUAAUCGGAAUUACUGGGCGUAAAGGGUGCGUAGGCGGCUUGAUAAGUCGGAUGUGAAAGCCCCGGGCUUAACCCGGGAAUUGCAUUCGAUACUGUCAGGCUAGAGUAUGUCAGAGGUUGGCGGAAUUCCUGGUGUAGCGGUGAAAUGCGUAGAUAUCAGGAGGAACACCAGUGGCGAAGGCGGCUAACUGGGACAAUUCUGACGCUGAGGCACGAAAGCGUGGGGAGCAAACAGGAUUAGAUACCCUAGUAGUCC